AAUCUGGGAGGGCAAUAAUUAGCAAGGAAAUGGAGGGAUGGGUGUAAAAGUAUACGCGUACUGCGGUGUCAUUACUUGUCGAUGGCGAUUAAGGGAGUCCUGCUGUCUGGAAAUUGGCUUUGCCUCCCGGGAAACCUGAGGGAAGCGCUGCCCUAGUUAAUGCUGCGGUAGCUCUUGGGAGAGGUUUGGAGUGAAAUAGAUACAGGUUUUCUUUUGAAAUAUGCUCUUGAAUAAAUUAGUUUGUGUCCAGAAAUGGCAUCUGUUUUCCCUGGCUCAGAUAUUUUUCUAGAAAAAGUGUUUAGGUAUGCGGCUCACAUGGAAAGUGGGACCAAUAUCUAAGCAGCUUUGAAAAUCGGUGCUGUAUUGUUUUGAGUUAGAAAUGCUGGUUUAAUUCCAAAGUUUGAAUACAGCAAUGCUGUGGGGUCAGUGGAGAAGGAAAGGAUGGGCCCUUAGAUGUAGAUGUUAUGAAGUGGAAAACUUAAAGUGUUUGGAAGGGUUACGUGGCCGGGUGUUCAGUGGCACCAUCUAACAACAAAACUUCUCUUUUAUUUUCAAGGAAGUAGCUGAAAACACUGGCUGCAUCUCUGUGUCUCUUAGAGGUCACUUGCUGAUUUAUCUCCAAUUCACAGCUCAUUAGAAGGUGUGUAACUCUUCAGAGAUGUUGUUAUUUAACAGCUGAAAGUUAUUAUGUAAAAUGGGUAAAUUGGAGUCUUUAAAGGAGCUGCCAACUUGCAUUUGCCUGAGUUUCUUCAGCAGUGGAGAGGAGAGGAAGAAUUCCAGACACGUCAUCCUGAUUUCACAAGUCUGCAGAGAUCUCCAGAGUGGACUUACCCAUCUGUGUGAGGAGGAAGGCUAUACAUGCAAAUUCAGAUUCCUGAUGCAUUCCCACUAACUCUGCCCUUCUGUUCUGGCAGAGUGAGGAAAAACUGUAGGCUGCCAAAAGGUGAAGACAACCACUUUAUCUGCAAGAGAAUAUUCAUUUAUGGGGCUUCCCUGGUGACAUAGGUUUGAAAUGGGAAAAUGGGCUUAAAGCCUUCUUUAAGAGAGAUUUACUCACAGUUUUCUCCAGUGUCAUUCAGGGGCCAAGCUUUCAAGUCUUCCAGAUUUGGACUUGUUUUGAUUUCAUUGCAAAAUCCUGCAAGAAUUCUGCCAACAGCAAGGCCAAUGUGUCUGAAAACAGAUGGCAUUUCCAGUACCUAAAGCCUGGUCAGGUUGAUUGCUUUGAGUCUGUAAGGUCAUCAUGGUUGAAGGCAUGAAGAUGAGGACAUCAAAGCCUUUGCCCACUUAUGACAAUUACUCUGGAGACAAACACAGCUCAGAAGACAAAUGUUAUGAGCUACCUGUAAGUUCUGGUUCACAAAACAGAUGAGAAUCCAGAGAUACUUCUGAACUUCGAAAUGAAAUUUAUUCUCAAGGUGGAGCCUCACCUUGAGUUAGAUUUAGGAGGACCAAAGGUGCUUCCUUUUCCAGUUCCCUGCCUGGAUUUUUAGAAGAUACCAUUUUUUAGCAUCUAAACACGGAAAUCACAGCAAUUUCCAUGGGAAGAAUCUCAGAGAUGAGAUGACAGAGCUUCCCCCCAAAACACUGCCUGUGUAAUUGCUGAAGACAUUCCAAGCCACUCUAACGAAGUGCUGUCUGCCAGUCAUUAUGUUCUCCUUGGAGGACCAUCUGUUGCACUUCAAAUAUGUAAAGGUCUCUAUCAUUUAUUGCUCCAAACAAAUCCAGGCCUUUGUCUGAUGUGCUGGAGCCCUUGAAUGGAUUCUAAAGGUGGUUUCAGGCACAAAGGGCAGGGUGUUCCCUUUGGUUGUACUCCUUCAGAUCAAAUUUCAGAGCACGAAUAUAUUGAUUAAACCAA